rnacentral:rRNA from 1 species
GCAGCCGCCGCGGGAAUACGAAGGGUGCAAGCGUUACUCGGAAUUACUGGGCGUAAAGCGUGCGUAGGUGGUGGUUUAAGUCCGUUGUGAAAGCCCUGGGCUCAACCUGGGAAUUGCAGUGGAUACUGGGUCACUAGAGUGUGGUAGAGGAUAGUGGAAUUUCCGGUGUAGCAGUGAAAUGCGUAGAGAUCGGAAGGAACAUCUGUGGCGAAGGCGACUAUCUGGGCCAACACUGACACUGAGGCACGAAAGCGUGGGGAGCAAACAGGAUUAGAUACCCCGGUAGUCCCUGUCUCUUAUAC